rnacentral:rRNA from 1 species
GACGAACGCUGGCGGCGUGCUUAACACAUGCAAGUCGAACGGAAAGGCCCUGCUUUUGUGGGGUGCUCGAGUGGCGAACGGGUGAGUAACACGUGAGUAACCUGCCCUUGACUUUGGGAUAACUUCAGGAAACUGGGGCUAAUACCGGAUAGGAGCUCCUGCUGCAUGGUGGGGGUUGGAAAGUUUCGGCGGUUGGGGAUGGACUCGCGGCUUAUCAGCUUGUUGGUGGGGUAGUGGCUUACCAAGGCUUUGACGGGUAGCCGGCCUGAGAGGGUGACCGGCCACAUUGGGACUGAGAUACGGCCCAGACUCCUACGGGAGGCAGCAGUGGGGAAUAGUGCACAAGGGGCGGAAGCCUGAUGCAGCAACGCCGCGUGCGGGAUGACGGCCUUCGGGUUGUAAACCGCUUUCGCCUGUGACGAAGCGUGAGUGACGGUAAUGGGUAAAGAAGCACCGGCUAACUACG